GACGAACGCUGGCGGUGCGCCUUAUGCAUGCAAGUCGAGCGAAGCUUUUCAGUAGUUUACUACAGAAAAUGACUGAGCGGCGAACGGGUGAGUAACGCGUGAGCAAUCUACCUUAGUUACAGGGAUAGCCCGAGGAAACUCGGAUUAAUACCUGAUAUUCUUUAUAUUUCGCAUGAAAUUAAAAGGAAAGGUCAGCCGAACUAAGAUGAGCUCGCGUUCUAUCAGCUAGUUGGUGAGGUAAAAGCUCACCAAGGCUACGACGGAUAGCUGGUCUGAGAGGACGAUCAGCCACACUGGGACUGAGACACGGCCCAGACUCCUACGGGAGGCUGCAGCAGGGAAUAUUGCGCAAUGAGCGAAAGCUUGACGCAGCGACACCGCGUGUGGGAUGACGGAUCUAGGUUUGUAAACCACUUUCAGGAGGGAAGAAAAUGACGGUACCUCCACAAGAAGCCCCGGCCAACUACGUGCCAGAAGG
rnacentral:rRNA from 1 species